GCAGUUUUGUGUGCCCUUGAACCGGAAGUUGUCAUAUUUCGUUAAUCUUAAGAUAGUUGAACUAAAAAGGCAGGCCGUUUGAUGUUAUGUUUAAAAAAGCAACAAAAGAUUAUUUCCAAAAUCAUUUGUUGGAGCACCGAAGCUCUGAUAUUCUGGUUGUCAAUAGUUACGAUGGUAAUGAUCGGGUUUUUCCGGCACCAGUGCUCGGGCACCUCCUACUUGCUGCCCCUGGUGAUGGUUCCAACCAGUGUGAUGGGAAUGUUCUCGGGGGUCUUCCUCUGGGUGUCCGUGGGAUUCCUCUGGGACAACGACAUUAUAGGGGCAUGAUUUUGGUCAAAAAUUAUUUUUUCGAUUUUAAUUUUUACAAUGCCUCAGUAAGGCAUUUUAAAAAGGAAACCAAAAUUUGAGCGUCAGAGUUACAGAGCUUACAAUUCUUCGCUAUGUAAACAAAGCUUUUGUUUACAUUUUGAUUGUUGAAGUGAAAAUUCUAGUUUUAGACACAAAAUGAAUAAGUUAAUCGCUAGGAACUGUUUAUUUAUGCUUAUAUGAAUAAGAAGAUACAGACAAAUCAGUUUAAAAAGAUUUUUACUGGUAUAUUGAACCUAUGUAAACAAAAACAGGGCACAGGCAUUGUUUACAUGAAGAAGAAUUGCGAGCCCUUUUCACCAAAAUCGUUACCAUGCCCCUUUAAGGACUUCAUGAAGUUUAUGGCCGGGUUCUCGGUUGUUGUCACAUUUAUUCUGGAGUUUGUAUGCAAGUAUAUUUUGUUUUAAAAAUGUCAAUCAAUAACAUUUGUGCACCAGGUAAUCUGUUUAUAACUUUAUAUUAAAAGCGCUGAGUUAUUUUUAAACCUCCAAUUCCAACUAAAGGUGUGUUUUAUUUUUCUGCAACUUGAAAACCAAUCAGUGUAUUGCCUGUAUAAUAUUACACAGUGACAUAAUGGUUUCAAUUAAAGGAUUUUUUUCCUUGCUUUACAAAUCAAAUAUUUUUUAUUUGCAUUAAGCCAUUAUUUCUGCACAUAGAGAAUUUUCUAUUAUUUUGUCGUAUUUAGUAACCAGCGUUAAGCAAUAGUUGCCUCUUGUUUCCAGCUUUUGGCUUCGCUAUGUGGAAGCUAGGGGACCCUGACUUUUCCAACCCCUUCUACGGAUACUCCUUUGGAAUGCCCCUCACCCAGGGGGUACUCUUCAUCCUCAUCUUCGUCGUUUACGGUGUCUACAGAUGCAGGGAACCAAAAAACAAGGCCUAUAGAUUAGGGCGACAGUGUACACAUAAGAUAUCAGUAGAUAGAUUUGAGUUUCGUUUUCUGCGCAAGAACUUGUCCUGUUGUAUACAAUUUAAUGUUGCUAUCCAAGAAUUUUAGAGGAAUGAUUAAUAGCAUCACAGAAAGACCGUCAAUGGAGCAUCAAUAACAUUAGCAUAAUUUAUCCUCGGUCUGUGCAUUUAAACAAGUAGUAUUUUGAUAUCAAACCAUAUAUCUUCUAUAUUCCAUAUCUCAGUUGUUGUAACAAAAUACUGGAGAUUUAUUAUGAAUUAAAUUUUUGGUUUGAUUACGUUUGUAUGUCUAAAAAAAAUCAAACAGAUGC
rnacentral:misc_RNA from 1 species